rnacentral:rRNA from 1 species
UACGUAGGGUGCAAGCGUUGUCCGGAAUUAUUGGGCGUAAAGAGCUCGUAGGUGGCCUGUCGCGUCGGCUGUGAAAACUCGGGGCUCAACUCCGAGCUUGCAGUCGAUACGGGCAGGCUAGAGUUCGGCAGGGGAGACUGGAAUUCCUGGUGUAGCGGUGAAAUGCGUAGAUAUCGAGAGGAACACCAGUGGCGAAGGCGAGUCCCUGGACACUUCCUGACACUGAGGCACGAAAGCUAGGGGAGCAAACAGG